AAUGGGCUGGAGUGUGUGUGUGUGUGUGUGUGAUAUACACAUGUCGAACACAAGGAUUCAAGGUUUUAAAUGUGGAAAUUAAUUUCAGGUGUGCUUUGUGAUCACUACAGAGAGGUUGUCAUACUUUGGCUUCAAUGUCAAGGAUGAGGUUAUUAUUUGGGACAGAAAUUAAUAAAUGGGUAGAUGAUAGAUAGACUAAGCAUAGCAGCAUGUGGGUAUGGAUAUGUUAGAGAUACUUUGUAAGUAGGACCCUACUUUGUAAGUAGGUUGAUUCUCAAAGAGCUAAAACCCAUUCAGUUGCCUUCUGGGUAGGUCAUGGCUAAGCAAUUCAGCAUUGCUUCGUGGGUGGAAGAAAAGUGUUCAUUCCCUUUGUUCUAAACCUUUGCUAACCAAGCAGUCUUCUGAUUUAUGAUGAAGGAUAACCUGAGCCAGGUACACAUCUCUCAGGCUCACUCCUACAGCCUUAGGCAGCUUCUAAAAUCAUUUCAGACUUAGGUGUUCAGUUUUGAACCCUAAGAAAAACUGACAGGGCCUGAGCUUACUUAUAAGUAACUGGUUCAUGUUUAAAGUUGCUGGUGAUCCAUAAAAUGAUGCUGUUUGGCAUCUUGCCUGCUGGAAGGGAUUUUAUGUGACAGGACACAGAAUUGGCUGACAUGUAGGAAUACUGUGAUUUCAAGGGCUCUAGGGAAGAUCGUUGCUCAAAAAAGUCUUUCUCCAACUUCUACCUAAUUUCACAAAUAUUCCAAAGUAUCCUCCUUCUAGUAUGUAGCUUUGUUCAUGUUAAAUUCUCUAAGAGUGGUUGAUAAUUAUUUAUAUCUGUUAGUCAAUAAAGGGUCUGGGAUCAUUGAAGAGAAUGGCCACAAAAUCAACAGGACCAGAGAAGAAAUUUUGGGUUGAAGGUAGAUAACUCCUCUGUCUUUUUUUUGUGGUAAAUUUAAGACUGUCAGUACCAACCAUAUCCUAUUUAUCCUAUUUAACGGUGUUAAUAGUGUAGCUCAAAAUGCUUGAUAAUGUCCCUACCUCUUUGGGAACAAGUAACUAAGGACUUUUUCUAAGUUCUGUCUUACAGUAUUAACCUGACAAUCUAAUGAAUAAAUUCUUUGAGCUCUUGCAGGAGAAACAAAACAUAGUUUUAUCAUUUAAAAUGACUAAAUGUGUGCUAUAGCUUCUUUUUCUCAGGGCCCCAGCUUUGCUGGCUGCGCACACACGCCUUAAAAAAGUCCACCUAAUAAAAUGGCAGACUUUGUCUAAGUAGCUUCUCUAAAUUCUGGAGGAAUCAAUGCCAAUGCUUUAGAUUGUUUCUGUUGAGACAAGUCUUGUGCAUAAGCUGGAUGGGUUUUUUUUUUUUUUUUUUUUUUUAAGCAGGUGUCCAAAUAUCUGAAUAGAAUACUUGGUCCUUCAAAAUAUUCAGACAAUGAAAAUAUCAAACCUAUUUCAUAAUAAAUAGCAAUUUAAUUAGAUUUUAGAGGAAUAGUCAAGAGACAAGGCUGUUAAAUUUAAUGGGGACACAUUUUCAAAAGGAGGUAAUCAGUGAUGCCUAGAGAGACAUCUGUAAGAUUUCAUCACUAGUUAGAGAGAAGACUUUACCUAAGACCCACGAUUCCUGAUUCAUAGGCUAGUUCUAUUUCCACUGCUUCCUGGUGUGGUGUCUGAUUCAUUUGUGUCACACUGAAGAGGGAGAGGGUGUCAUUAGUCAUGUUUUUCCCAAGGCCGACUGAAACCUGAUGUAAUAAAAACAGUACAGGAGACUUAUGUGUCACUAUUAUGAUGCCCGUAUGACAACCAAGCCCAUAAUGGAGAAAUGGAACUUUGGGGGACUGUUUCCUCUGUCUGGAAGCAGCAAAUUUGAAGAGCAGUUUGAUUUGCACGAGUUAGAAACGGUGCUGUUAACUUGGCUUGUCAGAAAUAACGACUGUGGAUACAUAACGCGAUCUAGCUUGGGUACUCUAGUUUUCACAGGCCCAGAACUUGGACACUGAAUUUUGGAAGUUAGAGAAGAAAGAUUAUUGUGAUUUAUUUAUUUUUUUUUAAUGCUUUGAAAUUCUAUCAACCUAAUUUACCCAGUCCUGAGGAGUUAGUUCAGCUGCUUUAACAACUGUCCCACUGGAGAAUCAUUUGUUCAAGAUUGAAAACAGAUAAUAGGUUACUUGUGAAAAAUUACAACUACAGAUUACACUUAGAAAUCCCUACAUAUGAGAAGGGUGUGUGGUUUGAUGUUACCCAGUAAGCGACUGAUGCCAUAAUGUGACUCCUGUAAAAUGACUGUGCCCUACCCUCUCAUCACCAGCCUUGCGUCCUCUGGAGAGGGACAGAGCCUGUGGCUUGCUCUCGAUGGGGAGGAGAACUGGGGGAGGAGGGCAGACUUCAGCGUCUCAUGCCUAUGAAUUCCUACUUUGCAGUGUUGGAGUUUUGAGGGCGCCACCAGCCCUGGGCAGCACCUCUGUUUGCUCCUUGCCCACCCCUUUCCGGGUGCUCUGAGAGUCCAGACUGGCAGCUCCUUUGUCACUGGAUGUUGCACACAGCGUGACCUUUGGAACCCAGCUUGAACCAGAUGAGGAAACAGAAGCUUAGACAAAUUACAUGAUUGGCCUCAGUCCAGGAAGCUAGUAAGGGGCUGAGCAGAGUUCUGAAGUCAGGUCUCUGUACCACUCCACCGUAUUUUGAUGUAAGAGACUUGCAAGGGUCUGAGGGGGUAGACCUCCCAGGGACCUCACAGCCCCUUCGCAGGGACUCUCCUGGGCUGCACUGCCGGUAAGUCUGCCCUCAGAGAUGCUCGUCUGUACUGGGUCCCAUUGCUGCUGCCCUAGAAAGUUCUAGUUCCAUGACUGUAGACAUUGGGGAUGGGGCUGCUGUAUGUUUUGGUUUGUAUUCUUGAGAUCUUCUUGUCUCUAUGGGUCACCCCCUUCCCGCCUAUCUCUGGCAGUGGUGGAGAUGAGUGUAAAGAGGUUCUGUCUACAAAUGGAACCAAACCUCAUUGUCACUUACUCACCCACCCACUCACUCACAUAUUCAUUAAAUACAUCUUUGGGCCCCUUUUUCCUUGGUGUGUGAUGCACUGUGGAUAGAAGCCUGGAACUCUGGGAGAAUCGGUCAGACUGGAGAGGACAUGCGUUAUUCAUGUACCCUAUCUGAAGACUCCCUUUUCGUGGUUUGAAGGUGACAAUGUCAACCUCAAGAAAGAGAUGAGAGCAUUAAAUGAGAGAAUAUACAGUGAAAGUAGUCCAUAAAGUCUAAGUGCUAAAGCAAUAGAAACCAUUGCUUCAUUUAUAUCUUAAUGUGUUACCAAGAUGGGACCUUGUCUCAGCUCCCAUGAUGCCAGCCAAGAAUCAGCAUCCAGUCUCCUUGCUGAUGGCAAGAGCUCCUGAAUUUCAGGAGCUCCUGAAAUUCAAUACAUUAGAGCUCCUGAAAUUCAAACCCAAAUAGUAUUUGAGUUCCUAGUAGGCUCAAAUACGCAGUCUUAAUCCCUGAAAGUGCACUGAAUGACGAAUCAGUGCCCAGGACCCAGUUCGGCUCCUGCCUGCCUUGCUCUAGAGCAAAAAUGGCAACAUUUUCUAUAUAUUCUAUGCAGUUUACCUUUUCAACUUAGUUGUGUUUCAAGGACACCUUUCCAAGGAUAGCCUUUCCUUUGCCACUCUAAGACCAUUUUAUUCUUUUUAACAGUUACGUAGUAUUUUGUUACCUGGUUUAGCAUCCUGUAUUUAAUCAGUCCCCUAGUCUUAGGUAUGUGUAUUGCUUCUGACUGUCCCCAUUGAAAAUGAGGCUUUAAUGAAAAUCUUUGUACACAUAUUUGUGUUUGUAUCUCUGUCAGAUGCAAGUGAGAUUAUGAGUUGGAGGGAAUUUACGUUUUAUAUUUUGUCCGAUGCUGUCAUUUAUCUUCCAAAAAGGUUGUACCAAAUUAUACUAUCUUACGCUGUAUGUAGGAGUUCUCCAUAUUCCUGCCGACACAGGCUGUUAUUGGUCUAUAAAAACAUUUGACAGAUUUAUGGACAAAGUUCAUAUUUCAUUAUUUACUUUGUGUUUAAUUGUUAACAAGACUGAGUGUGGUUUCUUUUUUUUGGCAUUUUUAUUUCUUCUGUAAAUUGCUGUUUUCUGAUCAGCUAUUUUUCUACGUGUUGGUAUUUUUCUUCACUGCGUUACUGGAGGUCUCUAGAUGUUUUGAAUGUUAAGAUUUGUUUGUGAAGUGUAUUACCUGGGUUUGUCUUUCCGAAUUGUUGAAUAAAUUGCCUCAUACUUGUGUUAAUAGGUAUUAACCUGCCCUCCCUGACAAGCUCUUUGGGUCAUAAGAUUCCCUUCUUCUUUUGGCAUGGGAGAUACAGAGUCUUGGCACUGAAGUUUUGAGAGGUACCUACCCUACAGAAUGAUGCCACGGGACUUUGGAAAAAGCAUAAACUUUAGACACAAGUAGUCUGAUGUUGAGUGUUGAUCCUGUCAUUUACUAGCUGGGUGACCUUGGGAGAGUUGCUUAACCUCUGUCAGCUUUUGCUUCCUUAUUGUGAGAUAUCUGCCUUCUCUGAGUACCAUAUCUAUCCCCAAAGCCUGGAGACGUUUAGAAGUCCGUCUUCUUAGAGGUCUGUGGCAUGUGAAGGGUUUCAGAAGGACAGACCUCUUGCAUAGACCACUGAGAUCUGGGAAUGUUGAACUCCUUUUGCUAAAUUGGCAAAUUAGGCUUUUUCUGUUUUUUUUUUUUUUAAUUGAGAACUGAUUAACGUAAAAGAAAACUUACAGAUUUUUUAUGAAUUUUGACAGUUAUAUGCAGUUAUAUGACAGUUAUAUGUAGUUACCACCCAAAAUAAGAUAUGUAAAGCUUCUGUCUCCCUCAGAAAAUUCUCUUACCCUUUAUACGCUGGAGAACUUUCUGGUUGAUCACAAUGUAUUCAUUUUUCUUAUAUUUGGAUUUUUUAUAAAUGGAAUCACACCAUAGAUGUUCAUUUGUGUCCGGAUCCUUUCACUCAACAUGAUUUGAGAAUCAUUCAUGCUGUUGCAUAUAUCAGUAUCUUGGUCCUUUUAAUCACAGAGUAGUAGCGUUUCUUUGCAGGGGGAUACCACAAUUUACUUAUCCAGUCUCUUGUUGAGGGAUGUUUGGGUGGUUUCCAGUUGGGACUAGUAUGGGUAAGGCUGCUGUAAACAUUCUCAUACAAGUAUUUUGGUGGGUAUAUGUUUUCAUUUAUUUUGGGUACUAGAGUGGACUGUUUGAGCCAAGUAUAUGUUUAGUUCCAUCGGAAUCUUUCCAACGGGUUUUCUGAAGUGCUGCCACCAAUUUUACAGUCCCACCUGCAACGUUAGAGAAUCCCACUUGGUGUUUUGAGCCUUUCUGAUUCUAGUCCUUCUAGAGGGUGUGGGAUUCUAGUCCUUCUAGCUACCACAGUGGUAGCUCCCUGUGGUUUGGCAAGUUGAGAUUUAAUGUCAGUUUCCGUGGUGAGAUCUCUGUCCAUACCCGUGUGCCUUUCCCUUUUUCCAUGUGUGUUGGCUCUCCAGUGAGAUUCGAAAGUCUGUGAGGGCAGAGGCUCAGCCUAACAUACGUUCCUCAAAUUCUGGACUACACCAAACACAAGGCAGGGAACAGAGUGGGUACCUGAUUUCUUGUCGGUUGAUUUCUUGCUACUAAGAAACACGUGUAGACUGUUUUGUAAGGAAGGCAGAUGAGAAGGGCUGACACCACCAACUGCUUUCCAAAUGCUUGCAACUUGUUGGUUUCCUUGGAGGCGGUUCUCAAGUAUCUUAGGAGAGACUGGUUCUGAAUCUCUCCCCUCCCUGUCCCAUCCUCUCUCUCUGACAAUCAGGUAAUUAGUCAGGGCUUCUCAGUAGCUCCUGGGUGUAGGUGGCAACUUUCUGUGUCAAGGGCUCUUCAGCCAUAGCAAGUUCAAGAAGGCAGAGAAACAGGUGAGUGAGAUCUCUUAUCGGUCAGCUUCCCUUUCCUAUCUCAGUUGGCCUCUUCCCUGCACUUUCCCCUUGAUUGAUGCUAUAGAGUGCCAUGAAAAUGGUUCCUUUUUUUGAUUUUUAGAGGGUUUUUUUUUUUUUUGGUCCUCUGACCUAACUAUAUUCCCAUUUAAAAAAUGAAAUGGACAAAUGAAAUUAUCCACAACGUGAAUUUUUUUUCAAGAAUUUGAAGAAGAUAGAAGACUACAGGUAAUGUAAAACUUUUCUGAAGAUGGUCACAGAUUGCAUAAUCACUUCAUUCACUCUCUCAAUGUUGUAUCAGAGAAUCCCUCCCACGAAGCUCUUUUCUUUGUUAGAAAUCAGACUUUUUUUCCCCCGUGAAAGUAGUGGGGGUGCCUGGCAUAGUGGAGAGCAUCUCAGCCGGGACUCUGUAGUGCAGGCUUUGGCAAGACCUUAUGUCAGGACUUGGGACAAGGUGCAGACCUCCCACUUUUCAUGGCUUCCUGUUGGAGGAGGUCAUUAAGAAGAGGACGUGACCACAGGUAGACCAGAAAGCUGGCCCCAGGCAAACGGAGGCUCUGCAGCCCCCUCUCUGCCCUUGAAUGUAUCUUCUGCCUACUAUUCCCACAGUGGUGACCAUUCUCAAGGGCACAGUCUUGAAAGCCAGGUGUUGCUGGGACCAUCUGGACUAUAUGUGUGUCUGUAUAAACUUCUAAGGUUCUUGCGGGCAGAUGGGGAGGUUUACUCGUCUGGUGACGAACCUCCUAUGUAGGUUCCUUUGCAUAGUAAAAUCACCACCCACAAACCUGCAGAGAGCUGCCUCUUUCUGAGGAUCCAGUUUCGGAUUUCACCCGGGAAAUCCCUGAGGUUGCGAACCAAGAUCUACCUGUCAAACCCCUAAUCUGACAGUUGGGAGGGGCUCAAAGAUUUGAAAAAAAAUAAUCAGAGACUGAGGAAACACGUUACAGUCACUGUCUUUAAUUUACCUGGGAUAACUCAUGCAAAGUAUGUUAUACUUAGUACUACUUCUUUCCUUUCAUUUAUUCAGUAGCUACCGAUGAUAUAACUUGUGUGGGCAGGCUUUAUGCCAGGUGCUGCAGGGGUAUCCGUGAACCACCCAACCCCUGUGCCUGGCUUUGCAGAAGGAGGUCAGACAGUGUAGCCAUGACCAACAGACAAGCAAUCAGAGCGUCACACUGAGUGAGUGAUAGGGUUGUGGCAGGUGCUGGCCAAAGCCGUUGAGUUCCUCACUCAGGGCUUAGGGUCAGGACAGGCUUCCCAGAAUAAACUGCGUCCAACCUGGAAUGAGUGAAUGAGAUCGAAUUAGGCAAAGGGACAAGAGGAUCACGGUUUCAGCCAGAGGGGACAGCAGAUACGA